ACGCCUAUAGCUCAAUGGCGAGAGCCUCACACUACGAAUGUGAGAGAUCCAGGUUCAAGUCCUGGUGGGCGUA
rnacentral:tRNA from 1 species